GACAGGCCAAAUUUGUGGCUUUACCGUGUAGCAGCGACGGGCCAAAUUUGUGGCUUUACCGUGUAGCAGCGACGGGCCAAAUUUGUGGCUUUACCGUGUAGCAGCGACGGGCCAAAUUUGUGUCUUUACCGUGUAGCAGCGACGGGCCAAAUUUGUGGCUUUACCGUGUAGCAGCGACGGGCCAAAUUUGUGGCUUUACCGUGUAGCAGCGACGGGCCAAAUUUGUGCCAUGAUAUAAACCCCAAAAAAUAGAUGAUACAUAAAUUGAUCACAAAUGCUUUGAUAUAUAUUAUGAAAUGGUUUGUGUGAGGGUGAUUUUUUGUCAUUUUUCUCGCUUAGAGGGCCGAUACCAGCUUCAGCCCCGUUCAUACUGUGCCGUCAUGAAGGGGAUGUAUUGGAGGGUCUGUCCGGGAUCUGUGUGCAUGAAGGAGAUGUUUUGGAGGGCCUGUCCGGGAUCUGUGUGCAUGAAGGAGAUGUUUUGGAGGGCCUGUCCGGGAUCUGUGUGCAUGAAGGAGAUGUUUUGGAGGGCCUGUCCGGGAUCUGUGUGCAUGAAGGAGAUGUUUUGGAGGGCCUGUCCGGGAUCUGUGUGCAUGAAGGGGUGUCAGGGUGAUGGGGUGUCAGGGGUGUGAGAAAGGGCGUAGAAUGGGCCGUGACAAUCCAGCGGUCAACAACAGCUCGGGGUAUACGGGCGCGCGGCACUGCCUAGGGGGCGCCCACGUAACUCAUGGUAGAUGCGUGGAGGCUUGCCCGGGGAGCUGAGUGUAGCGACGCGCCCCCUGAUGUAUGCUCCCCGUUGGUUAGUGAGUUAGUAGUCGAUUUCGGGGGAUUCAUUUCAAAACAAAGACUUCCUGCCAACUGUGUGUGUGUGUGAGGGGGGGCGGGGGGGAGGAGGGGGGUUAGUCUGAGGUCCUUGGGGUUGAGGAGGAGGAGAAGGAGGAGGAGGAAGGAGGUGCAGGAGAUGAAAGAGAUUGAGGAAGAAGACACUCAAAUGAGGGACAAGAAGAAGAAGAAGAAGAAGAGGAAGAAACAUGAAUAAGACGGAGGAAGAACGAAGAGGAGGAGGAGGAGGAGUGUCAGAAAGAAUAAUUGAGGUAAAAAUGAGAGGAGAAAAUAUAGAGACAAUCAGGAAAAGAGGAGGAGGAGGAGGAGGAGGAGGAAGAGGAGAAGAAGGAGGAGGAGGAGGAGGAGGAAGAGGAGAAGGAGAAGGAGGAGGAGGAGGAGGAGGAGGAGGAGGAGGAGGAAGGAAUGUACUGUUUCACACGUUCACAAGAUUUCUGGCACGAGUGUGUGUGUCCUUCCCGACCUUGAGAGAGAGAGAGAGAGAGAGAGAGAGAGAGAGAGAGAGAGAGAGAGAGAGGAAUGAAUCGAAAGAAGGAAGAAAGAAAAAGGUUAGAAAAUUAAUGAAGAAAGAAUUGUUUAGUACCGUAGAGAGAGAGAGAGAGAGAGAGAGAGAGAGAGAGAGAGAGAGAGAGAGAGAUUUACAUAGAAAA